CCUACGGGAGACAGCAGUGAGGAAUAUUGGUCAAUGGACGAGAGUCUGAACGAGCCAAGUAGCGUGAAGGAUGACUGCCCUAGGGGUUGAAAACUUCGUUUAUAUGGGAAUAAAAUGUUCCAAGUGUGGGAUUUUGUAUGUACCAUAUGAAAAAGGAAAGGCAAACACCGUGCCAGCAGCCGCGGUAAUACGGAGGAUCCGAGCUUUGUCCGGAUUUGUGGGGUUGAAGGGGAACGUAGUGGGAUUGUUAAGUCAGUUGUGAAAGUUUGCGGCUCAACCGUAAAAUUGCAGUUGAAACGGGCAGUCUUGAGUACAGUAGAGGUGAGCGGAAUUCGUGGUGUAGCGGUGAAAUGCUUAGAUAUCACGAAGAACUCCGAUUGCGAAGGCAGUUCACUGGACUGCAACUGACACUGAGGCUCGAAAGUGUGGGGAGCAAACAGGAUUAGAUACCCUUGUAGUC
rnacentral:rRNA from 1 species